CUACUUUUUAUUGUCGGUAAUUAUGGGAGUAGGCCAGUUUACUUAAUCAUGCCCAUAAUCAAAGUCAGUCUGUAACUUUCUUGUAUCUUUUAUUGGUUCAGCUGCAAUAAAGCAACCUUUAUUUCUUUGGUAUAAUGCAUACAUUUUAUUAUAUUAUUAUGUUUACAGUGGAAAAGAAGAAGGAGACAAUAACAGAAUCAGCUGGUCGACAACAGAAAAAGAAAAUAGAGAGGCAAGAAGAAAAACUGAAGAAUAACAACAGAGAUCUAUCAAUGGUUCGAAUGAAAUCCAUGUUUGCGAUUGGCUUUUGCUUUACUGCCUUAAUGGGGAUGUUCAAUUCUAU